GGACAACCUGCCCUCGGGAGGGGGAUAACCCCGGGAAACUGGGGCUAAACCCCCAUAGGUGAUGGAUACUGGAAUGUUCCAUCACCGAAAGUCCGCAAGGAGCCCGAGGAUGGGUCUGCGGCGGAUUAGGUAGUUGGUGGGGUAACGGCCCACCAAGCCUAAGAUCCGUACGGGCCAUGGGAGUGGGGGCCCGGAGAUGGACCCUGAGACAAGGGUCCAGGCCCUACGGGGCGCAGCAGGCGCGAAACCUCCGCAAUGCGGGAAACCGCGACGGGGUCAGCCGGAGUGCCGAUGCUUGCAUCGGCUGUCGGGGAGCCUAAAAAGCUCCCCAUAGCAAGGGCCGGGCAAGGCCGGUGGCAGCCGCCGCGGUAAUACCGGCGGCCCGAGUGGCGGCCACUAUUAUUGGGCUUAAAGCGUCCGUAGCCGGGUUGGUUAGUCUCCCGGGAAAUCUGGCCGCUUAACGGUCAGAAUUCCGGGAGAUACUGCCAGCCUAGGGACCGGGAGAGGCCGAGGGUAUUCCCGGAGUAGGGGUGAAAUCCUAUAAUCCCGGGAGGACCACCUGUGGCGAAGGCGCUCGGCUGGAACGGGUCCGACGGUGAGGGACGAAGGCCAGGGGAGCAAACCGGAUUAGAUACCCGGGUAGUCCUGGCUGUAAACGAUGCGGACUUUGUGUCGGACAAGCUAUGAGCUUGUCCGGUG
rnacentral:rRNA from 1 species